rnacentral:rRNA from 1 species
GGCAGGCUUAACACAUGCAAGUCGAGCGGUAGCAGAUCUAGCUUGCUAGAUGCUGACGAGCGGCGGACGGGUGAGUAACGCGUAGGAACCUGCCCAGUAGUGGGGGAUAGCCCGGGGUAACUCGGAUUAAUACCGCAUACGCUCUACGGAGGAAAGAGGGCUUCGGGCUCUCGCUAUUGGAUGGGCCUGCGUGAGAUUAGCUAGUUGGUGAGGUAAUGGCUCACCAAGGCGACGAUCUCUAGCUGGUCUGAGAGGAUGAUCAGCCACACUGGGACUGAGACACGGCCCAGACUCCUACGGGAGGCAGCAGUGGGGAAUAUUUCACAAUGGGCGCAAGCCUGAUGCAGCCAUGCCGCGUGUGUGAAGAAGGCUUUCGGGCUGUAAAGCACUUUCAGUGGGGAGGAAGGCCUCGUAGUUAAUAGCUGCGAGGAUUGACGUUACCCACAGAAGAAGCACCGGCUAACUCCGUG